rnacentral:tRNA from 1 species
AAGUAGCUCAGUGGUAGAGCAAUCGGCUGUUAACCGAUCGGUCGUAGGUUCGAGUCCUACCUUC